UGGCUCAGGACGAACGCUGGCGGCGUGCCUAACACAUGCAAGUCGAGCGGAGACAGAGGAAGGAAGGCUUCGGCCGGAGAGCCUGUGUUCAGCGGCGGACGGGUGAGUAACGCGUGAGCAACCUGUCCUUCACAGGGGGAUAAGAUACCGAAAGGUGUCCUAAUACCGCAUAAGACCACAGAGUCGCAUGACAGAGGGGUCAAAGGAGAAGUCCGGUGAAGGGUGGGCUCGCGUCCGAUUAGAUAGUUGGUGAGGUAACGGCCCCACCAAGUCAACGAUCGGUAGCCGACCUGAGAGGGUGAUCGGCCACAUUGGGACUGAGGCACGGCCCAGACUCCUACGGGAGGCAGCAGUGGGGAAUAUUGGGCAAUGGGGGGAACCCUGACCCAGCAACGCCGCGUGGAGGAAGAAGGUCUUCGGAUCGUAAACUCCUGUCCUAAGAGACGAGCAGGAGACGGUAACUUAGGAGGAAGCCCCGGCUAACUACGUGCCAGCCGCUGC
rnacentral:rRNA from 1 species